GAUGAACGCUGGCGGCGUGCCUAAUACAUGCAAGUCGAGCGAACAGACGAGGAGCUUGCUCCUCUGACGUUAGCGGCGGACGGGUGAGUAACACGUGGAUAACCUACCUAUAAGACUGGGAUAACUUCGGGAAACCGGAGCUAAUACCGGAUAAUAUAUUGAACCGCAUGGUUCAAUAGUGAAAGAAGGUUUUGCUGUCACUUAUAGAUGGAUCCGCGCCGCAUUAGCUAGUUGGUAAGGUAACGGCUUACCAAGGCAACGAUGCGUAGCCGACCUGAGAGGGUGAUCGACCACAAUGGAACGGAGACACGGUCCAGACUCCUACGGGAGGCAGCAGUAGGGAAUCUUCCGCAAUGGGCGAAAGCCUGACGGAGCAACGCCGCGUGAGUGAUGAAGGUCUUCGGAUCGUAAAACUCUGUUAUUAGGGAAGAACAAAUGUGUAAGUAACUAUGCACGUCUUGACGGUACCUAAUCAGAAAGCCACGGCUAACUACGUG
rnacentral:rRNA from 1 species